GGGGAUUUAGCUCAGUGGUAGAGCGCUUGCCUACCAAUUGCAAGGUCCUGGGUUCAGUCCUCA
rnacentral:tRNA from 1 species